rnacentral:rRNA from 1 species
AUUGAACGCUGGCGGCAGGCUUAACACAUGCAAGUCGAGCGAGCGGCGGACGGGUGAGUAAUGUAUGGGGAUCUGCCUGAUGGAGGGGGAUAACUACUGGAAACGGUAGCUAAUACCGCAUACCAUCAGAUGACCCCAUAUGGGAUUAGCUUGUAGGUGGGGUAACGGCUUACCUAGGCGACGAUCCCUAGCUGGUCUGAGAGGAUGACCAGCCACACUGGAACUGAGACACGGCCAAGAUUCCUACGGGAGGCAGCAGUGUGGAAUAUUGCACAAUGGGCGCAAGCCUGAUGCAGCCAUGCCGCGUGUAUGAAGAAGGCCUUCGGGUUGUAAAGUACUUUCAGGGGGGAGGCGUUACCGGCAGAAGAAGCACCGGCUAACUCCGUGCCAGCAGCCGCGGUAAUAC